rnacentral:rRNA from 1 species
GAUGAACGCUGGCGGCGUGCCUAAUACAUGCAAGUCGAGCGAAUGGAUUAAGAGCUUGCUCUUAUGAAGUUAGCGGCGGACGGGUGAGUAACACGUGGGUAACCUGCCCAUAAGACUGGGAUAACUCCGGGAAACCGGGGCUAAUACCGGAUAACAUUUUGAACCGCAUGGUUCGAAAUUGAAAGGCGGCUUCGGCUGUCACUGAUGGAUGGACCCGGGUCGCAUUAGCUAGUUGGUGAGGUAACGGCUCACCAAGGCAACGAUGCGUAGCCGACCUGAGAGGGUGAUCGGCCACACUGGGACUGAGACACGGCCCAGACUCCUACGGGAGGCAGCAGUAGGGAAUCUUCCGCAAUGGACGAAAGUCUGACGGAGCAACGACGCGUGAGUGAUGAAGGCUUUCGGGUCGUAAAACUCUGUUGUUAGGGAAGAACAAGUGCUAGUUGAAUAAGCUGGCACCUUGACGGUACCUAACCAGAAAGCCACGGUUAACUACGUGCCAGCCGCCGCAGUAA